AGAUUGAACGCUGGCGGCAGGCCUAACACAUGCAAGUCGAGCGGUAGAGAGGUGCUUGCAUCUCUUGAGAGCGGCGGACGGGUGAGUAAUGCCUAGGAAUCUGCCUAGUGGUGGGGGAUAACGUUCGGAAACGGACGCUAAUACCGCAUACGUCCUACGGGAGAAAGCGGGGGACCUUCGGGCCUCGCGCCAUUAGAUGAGCCUAGGUCGGAUUAGCUAGUUGGUGAGGUAAUGGCUCACCAAGGCGACGAUCCGUAACUGGUCUGGAGAGGAUGAUCAGUCACACGUGGAACUGAGACACGGU
rnacentral:rRNA from 1 species